AUGCGGUAAAUUGCCGAGUGCCGCUUAGGCCCACCAUUGUGACUCGCUUGUGGGGGUGCUGUCAGCAUAUUAGCAGCCUGUUCGAUUGUGUGUCAAGAAUUCCGCAUAGCAGUUUUGUAUGAAGGGCUGGUUAUUAAAUUGAUACCUUGUAACUGGAGAAGUCUGCAGGAUGUUUCAAGGAUGGGGUCCAACAACGCAGAAAGAGAGGCAAGCCGUGUGCGGGAGAUGUUCACCUCCUACUUCUUUGAAGAGGGUGCUGUUACCUGGUAUGUUUUAAUGUGAGAGAGGAUACCAACCCCCAGUCCCGUCAUCGCCACCUCACCCGCUCUUAACAAAGUUAACCAUUUUCACUGUAGUGUCCAAAAUGUCUUUCAAGCUGUCAGGCAUUCCUUUGGCAGCAAGAGCCUCUCAGUGGAUGCUGAAGUGUCCCAAGUGGCGUUGGGAGCAACUGCUUGCAUGCCCGUUACCACUCCACUAUGUCUCCCUGUGUCACGUCCUGACCAUAGAAAGCUUUUAUUUUUCUAUGGUAGAGUAGGUCAGGGCGUGACAGAGGGUU